rnacentral:rRNA from 1 species
GAUGAACGCUGGCGGCGUGCCUAAUACAUGCAAGUCGAGCGAACGGACGAGAAGCUUGCUUUUCUGAUGUUAGCGGCGGACGGGUGAGUAACACGUGGAUAACCUACCUAUAAGACUGGGAUAACUUCGGGAAACCGGAGCUAAUACCGGAUAAUAUUUUGAACCGCAUGGUUCAAAAGUGAAAGACGGUCUUGCUGUCACUUAUAGAUGGAUCCGCGCUGCAUUAGCUAGUUGGUAAGGUAACGGCUUACCAAGGCAACGAUGCAUAGCCGACCUGAGAGGGUGAUCGGCCACACUGGAACUGAGACACGGUCCAGACUCCUACGGGAGGCAGCAGUAGGGAAUCUUCCGCAAUGGGCGAAAGCCUGACGGAGCAACGCCGCGUGAGUGAUGAAGGUCUUCGGAUCGUAAAACUCUGUUAUUAGGGAAGAACAUAUGUGUAAGUAACUGUGCACAUCUUGACGGUACCUAAUCAGAAAGCCACGGCUAACUACGUGCCAGCAGCCGCGGUAAUACGUAGGUGGCAAGCGUUAUCCGGAAUUAUUGGGCGUAAAGCGCGCGUAGGCGGUUUUUUAAGUCUGAUGUGAAAGCCCACGGCUCAACCGUGGAGGGUCAUUGGAAACUGGAAAACUUGAGUGCAGAAGAGGAAAGUGGAAUUCCAUGUGUAGCGGUGAAAUGCGCAGAGGUGUGGAGGAACACCAGUGGCGAAGGCGACUUUCUGGUCUGUAACUGACGCUGAUGUGCGAAAGCGUGGGGAUCAAACAGGAUUAGAUACCCUGGUAGUCCACGCCGUAAACGAUGAGUGCUAAGUGUUAGGGGGUUUCCGCCCCUUAGUGCUGCAGCUAACGCAUUAAGCACUCCGCCUGGGGAGUACGACCGCAAGGUUGAAACUCAAAGGAAUUGACGGGGGCCCGCACAAGCGGUGGAGCAUGUGGUUUAAUUCGAAGCAACGCGAAGAACCUUACCAAAUCUUGACAUCCUUUGACAACUCUAGAGAUAGAGCCUUCCCCUUCGGGGGACAAGGUGACAGGUGGUGCAUGGUUGUCGUCAGCUCGUGUCGUGAGAUGUUGGGUUAAGUCCCGCAACGAGCGCAACCCUUAAGCUUAGUUGCCAUCAUUAAGUUGGGCACUCUAAGUUGACUGCCGGUGACAAACCGGAGGAAGGUGGGGAUGACGUCAAAUCAUCAUGCCCCUUAUGAUUUGGGCUACACACGUGCUACAAUGGACAAUACAAAGGGCAGCGAAACCGCGAGGUCAAGCAAAUCCCAUAAAGUUGUUCUCAGUUCGGAUUGUAGUCUGUAACUCGACUACAUGAAGCUGGAAUCGCUAGUAAUCGUAGAUCAGCAUGCUACGGUGAAUACGUUCCCGGGUCU